UACGUAGGCAGCGAGCGUUGUUCGGAGUUACUGGGCGUAAAGAGUAUGUAGGCGGUUGCGGAAGUUUGGUGUGAAAUCUCCCGGCUUAACUGGGAGGGUGCGCCGAAAACUGCGUGGCUAGAGUGUGGGAGAGGAAAGCGGAAUUCCUGGUGUAGCGGUGAAAUGCGUAGAUAUCAGGAGGAACACCGGCGGUGUAGACGGCUUUCUGGACCAUUACUGACGCUGAGAUACGAAAGCGUGGGUAGCAAACAGG
rnacentral:rRNA from 1 species